GUUGUUUUUUUUUUUUUUUUUUGCUUAAGAGAUGUUUGAAAUAUAAACAAGAUUUCUUGAUUCUCUAUUGACUGUACUGCCUGGUUCUGUACUCUUGCAGGUUUGGAUUUAUGUAAGAAAAGAGGCUAUUGUUUUUAUAAAUGAAAGAGUUAACUCUUUAUGUGGGGAGCCUAAUUUGUUUCUGUAAAGCAGAGAGCUCUUUAAUAGUGCACAGCUUUAAUUUUCUGUGAGAAUUAUGAAGCUUAUAUUACAUUGUAACAUAUCUUUUCUGUUUCUGCACCAGCUAUGGUUUUGUGGGUCCCGUUUAUUAAGCUAAAUUAUUUGAUCUAACAAAAAAUUGCAACAGCAGACAAUCAAAUUAUUUAAUAAAUAUAAUGGCAUUAUAUUAUCAUUAUAUUGGCAGCACACAUAAUAGAUUUUUGUUUAUAUACAAAUGCUCAAGCAUAAUAAAAUUCGGUGGGACAUUUUUAUAGUUUACCACUCAAGCUUUGAACAGCUCUACAUGUCUAGUAGGCUUCCUAUAUAUAUAUAUAUAUAUAUAUAUAUAUAUAUA